rnacentral:rRNA from 1 species
GACGAACGCUGGCGGCGUGCUUAACACAUGCAAGUCGAACGGUGAAGCGAGUGCUUGCACUCGUGGAUCAGUGGCGAACGGGUGAGUAACACGUGAGUAACCUGCCCAUCACUCUGGGAUAAGCACUGGAAACGGUGUCUAAUACUGGAUACGACCAACCCUUGCAUGGGGUGUUGGUGGAAAGAUUUAUCGGUGAUGGAUGGAUUCGCGGCCUAUCAGCUUGUUGGCGGGGUAAUGGCCCACCAAGGCGACGACGGGUAGCCGGCCUGAGAGGGUGACCGGCCACACUGGGACUGAGACACGGCCCAGACUCCUACGGGAGGCAGCAGUGGGGAAUAUUGCACAAUGGGCGAAAGCCUGAUGCAGCGACGCCGCGUGAGGGAUGACGGCCUUCGGGUUGUAAACCUCUUUCAGCAGGGAAGAAGCGAAAGUGACGGUACCUGCAGAAGAAGCACCGGCUAACUACGUG